rnacentral:rRNA from 1 species
GACGAACGCUGGCGGCGUGCUUAACACAUGCAAGUCGAACGGAAAGGCCCUGCUUUUGUGGGGUGCUCGAGUGGCGAACGGGUGAGUAACACGUGAGUAACCUGCCCUUGACUUUGGGAUAACUUCAGGAAACUGGGGCUAAUACCGGAUAGGAGCUCCUGCUGCAUGGUGGGGGUUGGAAAGUUUCGGCGGUUGGGGAUGGACUCGCGGCUUAUCAGCUUGUUGGUGGGGUAGUGGCUUACCAAGGCUUUGACGGGUAGCCGGCCUGAGAGGGUGACCGGCCUCAUUGGGACUGAGAUACGGCCCAGACUCCUACGGGGGUGAGCGGGCGGGAAUAGUGCACAAUGGGGGCAAGCCUUAUGCAGCAACGCCGCGGGCGGAGGGGCGGCCGUUGGGGUGUGUUCCUCUUCUGCCUGUGACGAAGCGUGAGUGACGGUAGCGGGUAAAGAAGCACCGGCUAACUACGGG